rnacentral:rRNA from 1 species
UACGAAGGGGGCUAGCGUUGCUCGGAAUGACUGGGCGUAAAGGGCGCGUAGGCGGAUCGCGCAGUCGGGUGUGAAAGCCCCGGGCUCAACCCGGGGCGGUCGCCGGAGACGGGUGGUCUGGAGUGGGGGAGAGGGUAGCGGAAUUCCCAGUGUAGAGGUGAAAUUCGUAGAUAUUGGGAAGAACACCGGUGGCGAAGGCGGCGUCCUGGACCUUUACUGACGCUGAGGCGCGAAAGCGUGGGGAGCAAACAGG